rfam:Myceliophthora thermophila ATCC 42464 chromosome 1, complete sequence.
GGUCCGCUGGCUCAAUGGCAGAGCGUCUGACUACGAUGUCUUCCUCGAAGACGAGUGAUCAGGAGGUUCCAGGUUCGACCCCUGGGUGGAUCG